rnacentral:rRNA from 1 species
CCUACGGGAGGCAGCAGUGAGGAAUAUUGGUCAAUGGGCGAGAGCCUGAACCAGCCAAGUCGCGUGAGGGAUGACUGCCCUAUGGGUUGUAAACCUCUUUUGUAUGGGGGGAAUAAGCUUCACGAGUAGAGUGUUGACUGUACCAUACGAAUAAGCAUCGGCUAACUCCGUGCCACCAGCCGCGGUAAUACGGAGGAUCCGAGGGUUAUCCGGUUUUAUUGGGUUUAAAGGGUGGGUAGGGGGCAUUAUAAGUUGGUGGUAAAAUAUUGGGGCUACACCUCACUACGCCAUUGAUACUGUAGAGCUAGAGAACAGACGAGGUAGGCGGAAUACGUUAAGUAGCGGUGAAAUGCAUAGAUAUAACGUAGAACACCGAUAGCGAAGGCAGCUUACCAGACUGCGUCUGACGCUGAUGCACGAGAGCAUGGGUAGCGAACAGGAUUAGAUACCCGUGUAGUC